rnacentral:rRNA from 1 species
UACGGAGGGGGCUAGCGUUGUUCGGAAUCAUUGGGCGUAAAGCGCACGUAGGCGGUUCGUUAUGUCGGAUGUGAAAGCCCUUGGCUUAACCGAGGAAGUGCAUCCGAAACUGGCGAGCUAGAGUACGAAAGAGGAUCGCGGAAUUCCCGGUGUAGAGGUGAAAUUCGUAGAUAUCGGGAGGAACACCGGUGGCGAAGGCGGCGAUCUGGGUCGAUACUGACGCUGAGGUGCGAAAGCGUGGGGAGCAAACAGG